UUCCGAACGAAGCCGAGUUAUCCGAAAUAGAGGAAGGAGAAGGACUCGGACUCCCGAUUUUGUUACACGUCGCAGCCAACAUGGCUAAAGGAGUCGACCCCAAUCUCGGCUCCUCCUGGAACAAAAGAAGUUAAAAGCAGGAGGGGGGACAGAGAGACCAGAUGUCCCUGUGUGUGCAGGGCUGCCAAGUGAGGCUAGGGCAGUGGAGCCCGAGACACAAGAGCCCAAAUGGUGUGACAAAGGAGGAGCAGGAAGCCUGGCUCUGCCUGGAUGAACCUCAGAGAGCGCCAGUCCACAUCCACAUCCCAGCCCCAACCCCUCGGCGCAUGUCCCACAACCCCAUUGAACUACUAGAGCAGGGCCGUGGACCAUGUGCAGACUUUCUGCUGGAUCACACAACCAUAGACAUGAUCACAGGAGUGUAAACGCUGACAUAUGAUCACUACUACAGGACAAGUGUGUGGAGUUUAAGCAAAAAGCUCACACACAUGCACAGGCACUGACCAGAAAGAUGCCACUGAAACCUCGAGAACAUUGCUGGUUUGAAUCUCAUACCAUCAGAUGCCAAGAUCUCGCUGCUUUUGAAUAACCUGGAUGUUCUCAGCAUCGUUUCAUCUGAAAAAUAAGGAAAAAUCUAAUUGAAGAAGAAGUAAACCUGAGAGAAUUGUGGAACAGAGGUAUGAAGGAGGGGCUUGCUAAAGGAAGCCAGGACAGUCUCGCCAUGCAAUUUAAUCACUGUAUACCCAGGCAAGUAUUGACAGUUGUCCUGUGGAAGCUAUUAAAGUUGCUGUCCAAGGUUAAAUGAAAUUGCAGUUUAUCAGGGGAGCAUUGAGAAAAUAAGGGAAUCUGCUGGAGCCGGCUGAUUAAUGUGGAGCAUGAUCAACACAAGGGGGUUCAUUAACCCAUACAUCACUAGGGUAAUUUAACAUGUCAUCGCGCCUGCUGUCUCCCCCUGCAACACAUGUAUUUAUGUGUGCGUGGGGGUGUGAGAUUGUGUAUGUACAUCAAAGAAUCAGUGUCGGUUUGGGUGUUGGCUGAUCUUAUAUUGUGAGGAAUGAUAUGCAGCAUUGUAUUGUGCUGAAAUAAAAUAACAGUAAUUGCUAAAAUGCUCCUCCCCACAUUUGGUGUUUGUAGGUGCAUGAUGGGUAAAAUAUGACAUGGAAGGGUAACCUUCACAUAUAAGUAUUUCUGUAGGCAAUUU